rnacentral:rRNA from 1 species
AGUGAACGCUGGCGGUAGGCCUAACACAUGCAAGUCGAGCGGCAGCACAGUAAGAGUUUGCUCUUACGGGUGGCGAGUGGCGGACGGGUGAGGAAUACAUCGGAAUCUACUUUUUCGUGGGGGAUAACGUAGGGAAACUUACGCUAAUACCGCAUACGACCUACGGGUGAAAGCAGGGGAUCUUCGGACCUUGCGCGAUUGAAUGAGCCGAUGUCGGAUUAGCUAGUUGGCGGGGUAAAGGCCCACCAAGGCGACGAUCCGUAGCUGGUCUGAGAGGAUGAUCAGCCACACUGGAACUGAGACACGGUCCAGACUCCUACGGGAGGCAGCAGUGGGGAAUAUUGGACAAUGGGCGCAAGCCUGAUCCAGCCAUACCGCGUGGGUGAAGAAGGCCUUCGGGUUGUAAAGCCCUUUUGUUGGGAAAGAAAAGCAGCAGGUUAAUACCCCGCUGUUCUGACGGUACCCAAAGAAUAAGCACCGGCUAACUUCGUG